UACGUAGGGGGCAAGCGUUGUCCGGAUUUAUUGGGCGUAAAGAGCGUGUAGGCGGCCAAGCAGGUCCGCUGUGAAAACUCGAGGCUCAACCUCGAGAGGUCGGUGGAAACCGUUUGGCUAGAGUCCGGAAGAGGAGAGUGGAAUUCCCGGUGUAGCGGUGAAAUGCGCAGAUAUCGGGAAGAACACCCGUGGCGAAGGCGGCUCUCUGGGCCUUACCUGACGCUGAGGAGCGAAAGCGCGGGGAGCGAACAGG
rnacentral:rRNA from 1 species